UAGGGAAUCUUCCGCAAUGGGCGAAAGCCUGACGGAGCAACGCCGCGUGAGUGAUGAAGGUCUUCGGAUCAUAAAACUCUGUUAUUAGGGAAGAACAAAUGUGUAAGUAACUAUGCACGUCUUGACGGUACCUAAUCAGAAAGCCACGGCUAACUACGUGCCAGCAGCCGCGGUAAUACGUAGGUGGCAAGCGUUAUCCGGAAUUAUUGGGCGUAAAGCGCGCGUAGGCGGUUUUUUAAGUCUGAUGUGAAAGCCCACGGCUCAACCGUGGAGGGUCAUUGGAAACUGGAAAACUUGAGUGCAGAAGAGGAAAGUGGAAGUCCAUGUGUAGCGGUGAAAUGCGCAGAGAUAUGGAGGAACACCAGUGGCGAAGGCGACUUUCUGGUCUGUAACUGACGCUGAUGUGCGAAAGCGUGGGGAUCAAACAGG
rnacentral:rRNA from 1 species